AUGCCCCCCUCUCUGGGUUGGGCAGGCGCGGUUCCCGUGACCAGUAGCCGGUGUCGUGGACCUGCGCAACCUCCUCUCUCUCGAGCCCACCGUCCGCUGCUCCCACACCGUGGAGCUCACCACCACCGGCGGCGACCUGCUUCUUCCUGGCCAUGGUGGUCCACAUCUUCCAUUCACGGUGCCCAUCUUCUCCUAUCCUCUUGGUUCCCUGCCACGUCGUCGGAUUUGGUCUUCGGCCGACCUUGCAGAUUGCUCCUAGCGAUGGGUAGUGCGGUGAAAGGCCACCAACAACAGCUCCACCCGUGUGAUUCGCUACUCCUCGAGCUCAAUGUCGGUGAGCCCGAGACGGUGCGGGACAAGAUGCUGCUGGAGCUUGAGCAGGAAUGCCUCGAUGUGUACAAGAGGAAGGUCGACUAG
rnacentral:rRNA from 1 species